rnacentral:rRNA from 1 species
GGUGAACGCUGGCGGCGUGCCUAAUACAUGCAAGUCGAGCGAACGGAUAAGGAGCUUGCUCCUUUGAAGUUAGCGGCGGACGGGUGAGUAACACGUGGGUAACCUACCUAUAAGACUGGAAUAACUUCGGGAAACCGGAGCUAAUGCCGGAUAACAUUUGGAACUGCAUGGUUCUAAAGUAAAUGAUGGUUUUGCUAUCACUUAUAGAUGGACCCGCGCCGUAUUAGCUAGUUGGUGAGGUAACGGCUUACCAAGGCAACGAUACGUAGCCGACCUGAGAGGGUGAUCGGCCACACUGGAACUGAGACACGGUCCAGACUCCUACGGGAGGCAGCAGUAGGGAAUCUUCUGCAAUGGACGAAAGUCUGACGGAGCAACGCUGCGUGAGUGAUGAAGGUUUUCGGAUCGUAAAACUCUGUUAUUAGGGAAGAACAAAUGUGUAAGUAACUGUGCACAUCUUGACGGUACCUAAUCAGAAAGCCACGGCUAACUACGUGCCAGCCGCCGCAGUAA